rnacentral:tRNA from 1 species
GGGUAGUCUAAAGAUAGCUGUAAGCUCUGCUAAUUCUUACACCCGCGGUUAAAGUCCGCGGCUUCCUC